CUUGAGAUAAGUCCACACAAAAGACUGUUCCUGGCCAUUUAGCUGCCACUUAUCUCUCUCGUUGCCCUUGGCCUUGUCCAUCUGUUGUCUCUUCUGACAAAGGAUUUCCCAAUCUUUGGUCAGGACUUGCUUGAACUUGUUCAUCUGUGUCCCUCAGCAAGCUUUGAGGCAAUGGCGUAAAAGAAUGAUCUCUUACAUUUUGCAGCCCAGGACACUAUUGGCCUUCUGGGCUGCAAGAGCACACUACUACUGGCUCUUCUUUCUUUUUUUUUUUCUGAUUUUCUCCCCCAUCCAGCUGAGAGGGGAGUGAGUGAGUGGCUGUGUGAUACUCAGCUGCCUACCACAUUAAACCACAGUAGUGUGGAUGCACCAAUUGAUACUUCAUAGGUGCUGGCACCUUCUGGAAAACAGUAUGAAUCUAUCCUUGGUUUUAGAAAGAGAAAGCUUACAUGCCCGUGGGUUAAGGGUUCAUUCUCUUCAGAGGACUGGUUCUAAGCUGAGUUCCUUCGAAUGUCCCUGUUUAGAAUAUUUUGAAGAUCUUAAGAGUCAAAAUCCUAAGUAAUAUGUUAUGAAGUCAGUGCUGACCCACCUCUGAGAAGGAGUUUGGAGAUAGUGUCUGAAGACAUCUUCCAAUCUGAAUAAGGCUAUGGUAUGUAGAAGAGGACAUUGAGCUACUGGUCCUGAGAGACUGUGACAGCUAAUUUCUGGGGAGACAUGAGAUGCUAGAUACGUGCCUCUUUAUACAGCUAUACUUGCUGGAUCACACUGCUCCUACUUCAACUUCAAAGCUUUUAUGGGUUUGAAUCUUGAAUUCAUAAGUCAUCUUUUAAGAUAACGAACUAAUGUUAUUUAUGACAAAAAAUAACUAAAACAGAUAACAUAAAAAUUUUCACAUGAGUAGUUGUUUGGUAACUGUUGAAUCAUGGCCUGAACCACUGAUUGAGCACCUGGGGAAAGGACCCAGGGAGCGCAGAUGAAGGCAAUUCAGCUGUGUGACCGGAAGGGGUGGAGCCUGGCUGCACCUCUCAUAGACCUCAUUUAAGGGCUGACUGCCACUAUGGAAGGAUUUUUGGUUGGAGAUUGCUAUCUUGUGCUAUUUUCCUUGUGAGCCUAGAUCUUCAGAGAUGGUGAAACCGAAGAAUGGAGGGCUUGUUAAUGCAGUCUGCAUCAACUCUAUGGCUAAUUGCUGCUAGAAUUUUUAUGACUGCUUUGUGGUAAAGAUGGUAUCACUGAGACUUAUUUUGGAUGAAUCAUUCAGAUGAGAGAACAAGAAUGUGAAAUGCUUAUGAGGAAAUCGUGAAGGCAAGAAGAUCUUGACUUCCCCAGUCUUAUGGAAAAUGACAGUAGCAUUCCUUAUGUAUAAAUAUGCACAACAACUUUUGCAGUACACGCUAAUUCCAGGAUGCAGUUAAUGUAACUGAGGUUGUGACAUGUCUAGCUCUGGGCAACAGCUUCUUGGAAAGGGCUUUCUUCCAUCGUGUUGAACAGUUUUGACAAGCGCAGACUGAGACAGCAGGCAUCUUGCAAGUGAUACUCAAUAGAAAUCUCCCUGACAUGGAAGAAGCACGUCAGAACUGGGCAGAAUAUGGCAAAAUUUCACUUUUUCAGAUUAGCGAUUCCAGUGCCUUACUGGUAUGUACAAAAUAGCACGACUGGAAAAAUCUUCUUAAUGCAGGCAGGUCUAUGAUACAAAUGACAGUUUUUCUAAUGAAAAAUUAAGGAAGACUCUGAAAGCACAGUCUUACUCUAGUUUUCCUGAGCUGCUCUGGAAUCUGGCCUGUAGUCCUGAUUCAUGUCUUCUGAACAACACAGGGUUGCUUGUUUAAAUACAUAGCCAAAGCAUGCUUCUCAAGUAUCUUUGAAUUUCUGAGAAUUCCUGAAGUUUUUACACUGUGCCUGAGACAGAAAGAAACCAAAUGUCUUGUGACUGUCUCUGUACUGAGGGAAGUAACUUAAACAUUCCCAUUUAUGAUGUCAUAUUGCACCAUCUGCACCAUUUUGUUGUAAAAAGACAAAAUCCUAUGGCAGGGAAUGAGCAGAUUUCAGUCUGCCAAAAGGAGGCUGAAAUUAGGUAGGUCUCUGUCGAGAUGAGUUCAUCAUCAAUGGCUUUAAUGGUGUUCACCUUGAAACAACUCGAGUCCAAUAGGGAAUAAAGACUAAUAAUCAGUCUCCAACGUAAGCCAAGCAUCCUUCCCUGGUGGGGAAGUAAAUAAGUGAGAAGAAAAGAAACUAGUAAAAGUAUUGUUAUAGGGAUUUGGGCCACUGAAGGAAAAAAUGCAUGACAUGUGAGACAAGAAUGAAGCUUAAACAUAUUUUUAACAGUAGAUAAAGGGGGAUUAGCAUAUUUCUUUAAAGGAACUAGAAGACAUAGUGUAUGUAAGGCUGCUCAGAAAGGGUUCAGAAAUAGCAGGAGUAUUAAAUAUUUAACAAAAGGAGCUGGUGCUGUGCAGGCAUCCUGAAAAGUUCUCCUGAGUCCUGAGUGUCUUGCAUACCAAUGCCUGCUGCUGUGUGAACUCAACAUGUAUCUCGCAGGGGCCUCCAUUCACCUUCAUUACUCCAGCAUUCAUCCAGAUGAUGGGUAUAGUUUUGUAGUGAAGAUCUCAAGCAUCAUCCUCCUUUUGAUGGUGUCCAGACCUGGAAAACUACUUGGUAUUAGUGAGCCUGGUUUUGUGUCUAUCUCCACACCAAUCCCCCUUCCACUGCCAAAAGUGCUUCUCUAGUACCAACAGAACAGUACUUCUCCCCUGCCAACUUCAGCUUCUCCCUGAUUUCCUCUUGUACACCUGAAGGAUGAGAAAAUGGUGACAUUUAGAGCAGUGUGUCACACUGUUGUUAUUACUGAGCUAGCAGUGACUAUGGACAUCUUAAAUGUGAAAUCCAAAGAGCCUCUUGUAAUUAAGACUGUAAUUUUUCUGUUUCUGUCUGCUUUCAUCCAGUGAAAAAUAGGUGAAGUCUGCAAAAUAUGCCACCGAAACUUCACCCACUUGUGUUACUGAUCAAGAUAUAUGUACUGUGAGAGUAGUUCUAAAACAACAUUCCUGGUGACAUCAAGGCUACAGAGCAACAGAAGUUGUCUCAGUUGCCAACAGGUAUAAAGUGCAUUAGCCUCAGCCAGCAGAGUCCCUGGCACAGGGAUGUGAGCACGAGCUUGGAAAUGUGUACUUCAGGCAGAAGCACAGAGACAGCUUGUCACCCACUGCUGGCUCCUCGUCAUUCUUCUCUGGCAGGAAGCACCCCCUUAAUCAGUGAACUUUUUCCUCUGAAAGGAGCAAAGUGUAUUAAGCUCCUAGCUAGAGUUUACAUGAGGAGACUGCUAAUAAUGCUGCACACCAUGAGGAGUUCAUCUGCAUGCUCUCCUGCUGCGUCAAAUUUUUACUUCAUUCUCAGUAAACAGAUGUUGUCUGGGACAAGUGUGGCUUGAAAGAUGACACAUAGUGCACUGAUGUUCAUCUGGGUUUGAGGAAAAUGCAUGACCAGUUGAAGUCAUUCCCUAUCUGUGGCUGCCGAUGGUAUCGGAUUCCCCUCACACACAGUCUCUGCUGCGUGAGCAGCCAAAGCCAGACUUCUUCAAGGUACAGGCCAGAUCACGGCUGUGUUGGUUAAUUUCCUAC
ensembl:lncRNA